AGAGUCGAAAAAAAAUCUUAUUGGAAAAUAUUUCUGUGCAGAGAAAGAAAAUGCUGAAAUAUUUGCAAGCAAUUCCGCAACUGAUAAACUGGUUCAAGCUAUCGCCCGAGGUGAAAGUCUUAGAGAAGUUGUAAAAAGAGACG